GCUCCUUGUAUGUCUUUUGUUUUUGAGAAGUGUCUGUUCAUGUUCUUUUGCCCACUUUUAGAUGAGAUUAUAUGUGUUUUGCUUGUUAAGUUGUUUAAGUAUAUUACAGAUUCUGGAUAUUAAACCUCUGUUGGAUGCAUAAUUUGCAGAUAUUUUCUCCAAUACUGUGAGCUGUCUGUUUACUCUGCUUUUCAUUUUGCUGUACGAAAGCUCUUUAUUUAAUUAGGUCUCACUUGUCAAUUUUUGGCUUUGUUGCAGUUGCUUUUGAGGACUUAGUCAUAAGUUCUUUGCCAAUCCUGUUAUCUACAAUGUUAUUUUCUAGGUUUUCUUUUAUGAUUUUUAUAGCUUGAGAUUUUACAUUUAAAUCUUUAAUCCCAUCUUGAGUUAGUUUUUCUAUAUGGUGAAAAGUAGGGGGACAGUUUCAUUCUUCUGCAUAUGACUAUCCAGUUAUCUCAGCACCAUUUAUUACAUAUGGAGUUCUUUCCUUAUUGCUUAUUUUUGUUGACUUUGUCAAAGGUCAGAUGGCUGUAGGUGUGCAGCUUGUUUCUGGGUUCACUUUUCAGAUCUAUUAUUCUGUCUGUCUGUUUUUGUACCAAUAUCAUGCUGUUUUGAUUACUGUAGCCAUGUAGUGUAGUUUGAAGUCAGGUAGUGUGAUGCCUCUGGCUUUGUUCUUUUUGCUUAGCAUUGCUUUGGCUAUUCAGGCUCUCUUUUGGUUCAAUAUGAGUUUUAGAAUAAUUUUUUAUAAUUCUGUGAAAAAAGACAUUGAUAGUUUGAAGGAAUAGUGUUGAAUCUGCAGAUUACUUUGAGCAGUAUGGACGUUUUAAUGACAUUAAUUCUUUCAGUCUAUGAGCAUGGAAUGUUUUUCCAUUUGUGUCAUCUCUGAUUUUUUUCAGCAGUGUUUUGUAGUUCUCCUUGUAGAGAUAUUUUAUAUCCUUAGUUGGUUGUAUUCCUAGGUACUUUUUUGUGUGGGUGGGUAUUGUAAGUGAGAUUAUGUCCUUGAUUUGGCUCUCAGCUUGAACCUCUUUGGUGUAUAGAAAUGGUACUGAUUUUUAUAUGCUGAUUUUGUGUCCUGAAACUUUACUAAAGUUGUUUAUCUGGUCUAGGAGCCUUUGGCAGAGGCUUUAGGGUUUUCUAGGCAUAGAAUCAUAUUGUCUGCAAAACUGAGAUAGUUUGACUUGCUCUUUUCCUAUUGAUGCGUUUUAUUCUUUCUCUUGCCUGAUUGCUCUGGCUAGGACUUCCAACACUAUGUUGAAUAGGGUUGGUAACAGGAUCCUUGUCUUGUUCCAGUUCUCAUGGGGAAUACUUCCAGCUUUUGCCCAGUCAGAAUGAUGUUGACUGUAGAUUUUUUAUAGAUGACUCUUAUUUUUUUGAUGUAUGUUCCUUCAAGGGCUUAUUUGUUGAGGUUUUAUAAUGAAGGGAGGUUGGAUUUUAUCAAAAGCCUUUUAUACUUCUAUUAAGAUGAUCAUACAGUUUUGGUUUUUAAUUCUGGUUUUGUGGUGAAUCACAUUUAUUUAGUUUUGUGUGUUGAACCAACUGGCAUCUCAGGAAUAAAGCCUACUUGAUUGUGGUGACUUAACUUUUUGAUAUGCUGCUGGAUUUCAUUUGGCAGUUUUUUUUCUUUUUUUGAGGAUUUUUGUGUCUAUGUUUAUCAGGGAUAUUGGCCUGUAGUUUCUUCUUCUUUUUUUUUUUUUUUUUAAGACAAAGUCUCACUCUGUCGCCAAGGUUGGAGUGCAGUGGCGCAAUUUCAGCUCACUGCAACCUCCGCCUCCUGGGUUCAAGGGAUUCUCCUGCCUCAGCCUCCUGAGUAGCUGGGACUACAGGCUAGUUUUCUUUUUACAUUGUGCCUUUAUCAGUUUAUGGUAUCAGGGUGAUACUAGCUUCAUAGUAUGAGUUAGGCAGGAGCCCAUCCUCCUCCAUUUUUUGAAAUAGUUUCAAUAGAAUUAGUACGAGCUCUUCUCUGUACAUGUAGUAAAAUUCAGCUGUGAAUCCAUCUGAUCCAGAGCUUUUUUGUAUGUAGGUUUUUUUGACUAAUUCAAUUUUGUAACUGGGUAUUGGUAUGUUCAAUGUUUCAAUUUCUUCCUGAUUCACUGUUGGGGCUUGUGUGUUUCCAGGAAUUUAUCCAUUUCUUCUAGAGUUUCUAGUUUGUGUGCAUAGAGGUGUUCAUAAUAUUCUCUGAGAAUCUUUUGUGUUUCUGUGGAAUUGGUUGUAAUAUCACCUUUGUUGUUUCAAAUUGCACUUUUUUGGAUCUUCUCUUUUAUUUGUUAAUCUAGCUAGCAGUCUAUCUGUCUUGUUUCGUCUUUCAGAGAGCCAACUUUUGGGUUCAUUGAUGCUUUGUAUGGAUUUUGGGGUCUGAAUUUCAUUCAAUUCUGCUCUUAUUUUAAUAAUUUCUUUUCUUCUGCUAGCUUUGGAGUUAGUUUAUUCUUAGUUUUCUAGUUCCUCUAGAUGUGAUACCAAACUGUAAAUUUGAGAUCUUCCUAACUUCUUGAAGUAGAUGUUUAGAGCUAUAAAUUUUCCUGUCAACACUGUUUUUGCUUCAUCCAAGAGAUUUUGCUAUGUUGUGUUGACUGUUCGUUUCUUUCAAAGAAUUUUUUACUUUCUGCCUUAAAUUCAUUGUUUACCCAAAAAUUGUUCAGAGAAAAGUAGUUUAAUUUCCAAGUAAUUGUGUGGUUUUCAGAUACCUUCUUGGUUUUGAUUUUAUUUGUAUUCCACUGUGGUCAGAGCAUAUGGUGGGUAUGAUUUCUAUUUUUUCUAAUCUGUUGAGACUUGCUUUAUGGCUGAGCACUAUUGUGUGGUGGGCUAAGGCUUUUCAUAGAUAUAGGAGUAUUUGUAUUAUUAAUGUGGGUGCUCCGAUGUUGGGUGCACAUAUACUUAGGAUUAUUAAAUCUUCUUGUUGAAUUGAACCUUUCAUCAUUAUAUAAUGUCCUUCUUUUUCCUAUUUUAUUAUUGCUGGCUUAAAGUCUGUUUUAUCUGAUAUAAAAAUAGCAAUGAUAUAAAAAUAGCAACCCCUGUUCUUUUUUGUUUUCCAUUUUCAUGAUAGAUCUUUCUUUCUCCAGUUCUUUACUUUGAGCCUGUAAGUGUCAUUUCCUGUGAGAGGGGUCUCUGGAAGACAGGAGACAGACUUUUUAAUCCAGUUUACCACUCUCUGUGUCUUCUUAGUGAAGCAUUUAGACUAUUUUCACUCAAGGUUAAUAUUGUCAUGUGUGGUUUUAAUCCUAUGGUGAAAUUAUUAACUGGUUGCUUUGUAGUUCCUGUUAUAUAAUUGCUCUAUAGGGUCUGUGAACUAUAGACUUACAUGUAUUUUUGUGGUAGCAGGUAUUGUUAUUUUGUUUCCAUUUUUAAAAUUCCCUUAAGGACCUCUUUUAAGCCUGGUCUAAUGGAGAUACAUUCUCUUAGCGUUUUUUUAUUGUUGGGGGUGUCUGGAAAACAUUGUAUUUUUACUUUGCUUAUAAAGCUUAGUUUGAUGGGAUAUGGAAUUCUUGGUUGAAAUUUCUUUCCCUUAAGGAUGCUGAAAAUAGGCCCCCAAUCUCUUCUGGCUUGUAAUAUUUCAGCUGAGACAUAUGCUUUUAAAUUGAUGGGAUUCCAUUUGUGCAUGGUCUGAACUUUUUCUCUAGCUGCCUUUAAGAUUUUUUCUUUAGCAUUGUCCUUGGGCAGUUUAAUGACUAUAUGCCUUGAUGAUGUUCUUUUUGUAUGGUAUCUCACAGGUGUUCUCUGGAUUUCUUGUUCCUGGGUGUCUACCUCUUUAAAAAUACUAGGGACACUCUUUGUACUAUUGCUUCAAAUAUGUUUUCCAGAUUGUUUACUUUUUCUCCUCCUCUCUCAGGAAUGCCAGUAAUUUAUAAAUUUGUUUGCUUUACAUAAUCCCAUAUUUUUCAGACUUUGUUCAUUAAAAUUUUUUUUCUUUAUUUUAGUCUGACUUGAUUAAUUCAAAAGACUAGUCUUCUAGCUCUGUAAUUCUUUUUCUGUUUGGUGUAGUAUAUUGAUAAAACCUUCAAUUGUAUUUUGAAAUUCUUUAAUUGAAUUUUUCAAUCCUGGAAGCUCUGACUGAUUUUCUUUAAAGAUGUUUAUCUCCUUCUUCAUUUCCUGGAUUUCUUCAGAAAUUUCUUUUUCUUUUUCUUUUUUUUUUUUUUUUUGGCUUUCAUCCUUGUCUUGAAUCUUGUUGAGCCUCCUUGCAAUCCAAGCUUUGCAUUCUUAAUCCGUCAUUUCUGAGUGUCUGUUUUAGUCAGGGACCAUUGCUGGAGAUCUAGUGUGAUCCUUUGGUGGAGUCACAAUAUUCAGAUUUUUCAUGGUAUGAGAAAAGUUGCACUGGUUCUUUCUCAUCUGGAGACACUGGCACUUCUAAUUUUUGUAAUUAUUAAUAUUUUCAUGUGAAUAGGAUUUUCCCCUUUCUUUCCCUAUUAUAUAUAUAUAUAUGUUUUUUUUUUUAAUUUUUCUUUGUUUUUCUCCCUAGUGGGUGUAACUGUAAAGAAUGUUGGCUAGGGUCUUUUGGCUUUGCUUCAUUUUUUUGUUUUUGUUUUUGUUUUUGAGACAAAGUUUCACACUUGUUGCCCAGGCUGGAGUGCAAAUGGCGCAAUCUCAGCUUACUGAAACCUCUGCCUCCAGGGUUCAAGCAAUCCUCCUGCCUCAGCCUCCCAAGUAGGUGGGAUUACAGGUGCCUGCCACUACACCUGACUAAUUUUUUGUAUUUUUAGUAGAGACAGGAUUUCACCAUGUUGGCCAGGCUAGUCUCGAACUCCUGACCUCAGGUGAUCCACCAGCCUGGCCUUGGCUUUGCUUCUAUAGCCCUAUGCACUUCUGUCAGCUGGUUUUAUGUUGGACUGUGUGGUUCUACCUACAGGCCAGUAGAUGGCACUUAUGGGUAAAAGUCAGCUCUGGCCAACGUGAACGGGUAUAUAUUUCAACCUUGUUUACUGGGAGGUCUCUGAUGCUGCAGGCAAUGGGCUGAACUGUUUAGUGCACAGUGGUCUUAGCUCCCUACUCACCACCACAUGAGGGAACCAAGAGAGUAGGGCCUGGACUGGGCAGGCUCACCUACAGCCACUCAAUGGCAGGUACUAGCACCAGCACCUAAUGCGUGGCCACCUAGCGCCCAGAGGUAUGUCUAGGCAUGGAGCUUGGUAACCUGCUUGGCCCUAAGUUCUCUGCAUGGGGAGGGGUGACGGCCCGAACUCCUAAUCCAGUAGAGUGGAUGCACCUGGAGAUCUUCCUGGGCAUGUAGCAUAGGGGGCCGUACUGCACCACAGUCUCUCCACAGAAAGUGUGGGGCAACUCAGGCCACUGACCCAGGCAAGGGGGUACUUCAGAUGCCUGGAGAUAUGCCUAAGCAUGGAGUGGAGAGGGUCCUGUUACAUCACAAUCUAUGCACAGGAGGGGUGGGAGACUCAGGCUGCUGGUCCAUGAUAGGAAGUGCUCUGAUUGUCUGGAGAUCUGCCUGCAUGCGUGGAACAGAAGAGGCCCUGCUACACUCUAAUCUAUGUACGUUAAGGUGAGAUGGCUCAGGCUACUAGUCCAGGAGAGUAGGUGCUCUGAAUACCUGGAGUUCUGCCUGGAUGUGUAGCAGAGAGGGCCCUGCUACACCCUAAUCUAUCCACAGGAAAGGUAGGGUGGCUAAGGUUGCUGAUCCAGGCAACAGGGUGCUCCAUCUGCAUGGAGAUUUGCCUGGGCAUGAAGUGGAGAGAAUCCUGCUACAAGCCAAUUUAUGCACAGGAAAGGUGGGGUGGCUCAGGCUGGUAAUCCAGAAGAGCAGGUGUUCUCAAUGGCCAGAAAUCUGCCAGGGUAUGGAGCAGAGAGGACCCCACUGCAUCCCAGUCUAUGCACAGGAAGGGUGGGGCAGCUCAGCCUACUGAUCCAGGAGAGUGGGUGCUCUGACUGCCUAGGCAUGGAGCAGAGAGGUCUCUGCUGCACCACAAUCUAGGCACAGAGAGGGUGGGAUGACUCAGGAUGCAAAUUCAUGUAAGUGGGUGCUCCAAAUGCCUGGAAAUCUGCCUAGGCAUGGAGCAGAGAGUGUCCCCUGCACCAUGAUCUCAGGUGAGCAGGAUGGAGCUCCCAGCAAGGUCACACACAGGCCAUUUCCAGGUGGCCAAGCUAGGCCUGGCUACAAGUCUCAUUGCUCAAGAGAAACUGUCGCUGUAGCAGCUUCCCUCUCACCCUAGAACUACACACGGGGAGCACAAUUCCAGCACCUACAACUGGGGCACUGUCCACACGCACCAUUCAAUUCUGGCUAUGGAGGCCUCUACUCAGCACCAGAGCAAGCUCUGCAAUCUCUGAUCCAAGACUAUAAUGCCUGCAUGGCCAUGCUGCUGGGUUGUCAAAGAAUUACUGACUUUGUAUGCACCUGGAUUAAAAAUGGCAUCCUGCUCUCCAUCCUGAGUCUGGGAAAAUGCCUGCAGGAAUUCCUGGUAUCUUUUCCUCUCAAUGUCCCCAAGCCUCACCCCAAGCUAGUCCCAAGGCUUGGGAGAAACAAAAUGCUCUUUCUUGUCCUGGGUUGCAUGGAUCCCCAUUGGAAAAGUGACUCACAGAGGGAGGCUCUCUGCCCACCCCCUGUUCUGGGUCUUCACUCACUUUUAUUUACCAAAUGCCUUCCCAGGGGCUGCUUGCCCACCUUCUCCUCCCUGGGGUCUGGGACGUCCUUCACUGUCUUAAUGGGUUCCCGUUUUCCCUUUUGAAUUAAAAUUCAUGCAUUUGAAUUAAAAUGUAUGAUUUUGCUGUUUCCAAGUGGCUAAGACACACUGCAAGCUUCUAAUCCGCUGUCUUGGAAGAAAAAUAAUGCAUUUUCUGAUGACGUAAAUACAAAAGUGCUAAGUUCUUACAUUUAUUAAAUGAGUGUAGAAAUAAGAUCUGGUGGCUGCAUUCACUUUGUCUUCUGACUACCAGUUAAUUCAAUAUUUAAAAUUCAUUCUUUGGUUUUCAUAAAAUUACCUAUUUUUUUUCUUGGCUCAAAACCUAACUAUAUGUCUCUUUCUUUCCAGUCCAGUUUGUCAAAUUUCCUUCCUCUAGCUGUCCAUUAUACAUACUCUGUGAUUCUGCCCUGUGUUUCCUUAUCUUCUCAUCCAAGUUAUUUUUUAAGGCAGUUCUGUUCACUGCCAUGGCCUAACAGCCUCCCAAUAGGCUAGUCUUUCUCAAAUCUUCCUCAAGCCCUAAGACUUCUGCUGAAUUUCAGACCUGGAUAUCUAACUGGCAACCAGCUCUAUCCACCUGGAUGUUUACGUGGGCAUCUCUGGUUCAUCAUGUCUAAAACCAAGCUAUCAUCAACCCUUCAAACAGUUAUCUAUCCAGUCACUCACACCAAAAAACCUUUUAAAAAUCCAAGAUUUCUCUUUCCUACUUAUCUUCCAGUCAGCCAUCAUGCCUAUAUAUUCUUCUUGCCAAAUAUCUUUUGAAUCUGCCCCUCCUUUAGACUCUUAUCACCUAUACCUUACAGUUCAUGUUACCAUCAACUUUUGCCUAUAUUAGUACAAAGCCCUUUCUCUUCUUUUGGUCUUACUCCAUUAUUCCAAAGUAAUCUUUUUAACACCAAAAUCUUAUCUUCAAAAUUCUUUAAAUAAUAAUUCAUUUGCAUGUCAUCUAUACAAGGCCUUUUAUCAUCUAGCUCAUGCCUAGCUUCUGACCUUCUCUUCCUGGUCAUUAUCACCACCUUCCCUCUCCUACCCCCACCUCUUGCAUUUUACACUCUAUUAAAUUUUGAAAUACUUGUUGAUUACCGAAUUCUGCCUUUUUAAAAUAGUACAGACCUUUGCAUGUGCAAUACAAGGGCAUCUCCCCAGUGUGCGUGCUUCACUGCCCUCAGCCAUCCAACCCUCAGCUUAUAUGCUGUCCUCUCUGUGAAGUCUCAUCUGCCUCUCUCAAAUAAACUUUAGUGCUUCUUUUAUUAUUUGUUCAUGGCAAUUUUUAAAUAUUUCGAUUAGAGUUAUUUUACUCUUCCAUUUAAAUUUGUUUGGAUGUAUUUAAUUGUUUUACUAAAAAGUUGUAAGAAUUGCCUAGAAUAGUUCACGUCAGACACAGAGAAUAUUCAACAGAUGUUGGCUGAAUUUAGACCAGCACCUAAACUAGUUCCUUUCAGGUCAUUGGGACUCAAUAUUCACAUUUUAAAGAAAAGAUUUUAGAGUAUUCUCAACUGGGAGCAAUUUUAUUUUUUCAUUUCUUUAGAAUUUCGGAUCAAUGUACUUGUGUGAGCUAUUUUUAAGAUAAAUUUUCUAUGUGAUAAUUGUAUUUGAAUUGAUCAGAAACUGAAAGAUUUGUUUUACAGGGAUUAUUUAAAGCCUGUUGACAUUAGACAAUUCCUGCAUUAAAUUUACUGUAAGCUGUAGGAGUGUUUAUGAUGUAAUUCACUUUUCAUAGUAUUUUACAAAGCACAAUCAUCAUAGACCCAGAGUAGAUUGUUUGUGCUGACUCCUUUAUACAUCUCUGAGCCCAGCUUUUCUUCUGGUAACUCUUUUAGUUGAAAUGGGUAUCCUCUAUGCGUGCCAUUGGCAUAUCUCCUAGAGACAGCUGCAAAGAGUAGCAAAAUCAGGGGGUAUGAUUGUUCUUCCGUGUAUUAUGAAGCAAGCUAGGAAAAUUCUGAAUGCAAAGUCACCAGGAAGAGAUUCUGAACAUGGCAGACCCCAUGUUGUCUUUCCUAAUCCCUAGAAGAAGGAAAAGAGGUAAAAAUAUUAUGAUAAAAUCUGGAUUCAUUUUGCUACUGCCGACAGGGAUGAAUCUGGUGACUCCCACCCAGAGGUGCUUCCUUGAGAAUGGAGAGAUGGAAAAUUGCAAUCACAGACUUUCACAUUAGGAGUAAAAACUUAUAUUAUGAUGGGUGAAAAAACUAUGCCUAACGAAGUACAACUUUUAAGAGCUCAUAAAUCUUGAGCUCAGUCAUAGAUUAUUAAUUUAGAAAAAUAACAACUAUGUAUUCUCAACUGCAAGCUACUCAAUAUUAAUAACAUUAGUGUGUAUUGUAUAUCCAGAUAGAGAAUCACUAAAGGUUUCAAGCUUAGUGGCAAAUGUAUCUUUAAAUAUGCAUUUACUAUGCUCUCUGUAAUAAAAUGAAAAUCAUGGUUUAUUUGAUGGAAAGAGAAUGAUAGUUUGUAGGCUUUCACAAUAAAAUGAGAGAACUUGAAACAGGGAUUCUCAUAAAAUGAGAUUUUUUUCUAAACUGGAAAAUUCUCUAGCCAUAAUGACCUGGGUAGGGAUGGGAGAAAGAGAAUGAAGUGUAACAAGGGCGUAAUUUCAUUUGAAUAAAAGGAAUUGGCGACUUAUGUCAGAGAAGCUAUGUUAGAGAUAUCUAACGGCCAACCAGCUCUGUCCAUGGAUAUCUACCCAGAUGUUGUUACUUCGUAGCAUGGCUCGGGUAUUAGUUCUCUCUGCAUCUGCGUGAGUUGCAGAAAGCUUCAUUUCGCUACUAAAAGGUUUCCUGAUUCCCUUAUCUAUCAGUAAGAGUAAGCCCAAUUCUAAAAAAUGUUUUUAGAAAAUUACUUUCAUCUCUGCAUGGCCUGGAAUUUGCUUGAGGACACCAUGAAUAGUAGGUCAUCACCACUACAUUUCAGGAAAGAGAGCCAAUGUAACUAUUUUUGAACGUCUUUGAGAUAUGGUUUAAAACUAUGCUAUAAAAAGGAACUUGCAAAUCUAAUUAAUAUUUAAUUUUAGUCUCACGAUGCAAAGUAACCUACAUGGACAUUUUAAUGCCAAACUGCCAGAUAGGUUGUAAGAAUAUACUGUACACUCACACCAAUAGUGACUGGAAAUACCUGGUAUAGUAGGCAGAAUAAUGUGCUCCCCGCUGGCCGGCCCCCCACCAAAAAAGAUACUCAUACCCUACUCCCAGGAUCCUGCAAAUAUGUUAAGUUGCAUGGCAAAGGGGGAUUAAGGUUAUACUAGAAUUAGGUUUGCUAAUCAGCUGACUUUAAAAUGGGAGAUUUCCUUAAAUUUCCUUAUCCAGGAGGGCCCAAUAUAAUCACAGGAGUCUUUAAAAGAGGAAGAGGGAAGCAGAAGACAACCAGAGAGAUAGCAGUGUGAGAAGGACUUGGCCCUACAUUGCUGGCUUUAAAGGUAGGAGUGAAGGCCAUAAGCCAGAGACUGUAGGUGACCUCUACAAUCAAUAAAAGGCAAAGAAGCACAUUCUUCCUUAGAGCCUCCAGAAGGAACACAGCCCUGUCAACAACUUGAUUUUAGACUAGUGAGACCCAUUUUGAACUUUUGUCCUCUAGAUCUUUAAAAUAAUAAAGUUCUGUUGUUUUCAGGCA